rnacentral:tRNA from 1 species
CGUUAGCUCAGUUGGUAGAGCAGGGGACUUUUAAUCCCAAGGUCCAGGGUUCGAUCCCCUG